UACGUAGGGAGCAAGCGUUGUCCGGAAUCAUUGGGCGUAAAGCGCGCGUAGGUGGCCUCAUAAGUCCGCUGUGAAAGUCAAGGGCUCAACCCUUGAAUGCCGGUUGAUACUGUCGGGCUAGAGUCCGGAAGAGGCGAGUGGAAUUCCCGGUGUAGCGGUGAAAUGCGCAGAUAUCGGGAGGAACACCAAUGGCGAAGGCAGCUCGCUGGGACGGUACUGACGCUGAGACGCGAAAGCGUGGGGAGCAAACAGG
rnacentral:rRNA from 1 species